GGCAGGGGUGUGGGUACGCUGGGCUGCUCUGCCCUGCAGAGGGAAACUGAAAGCCUGUGUGCUUCCUGAGGAUGGGAUGGGGAUGCGGGAGCCCGUCACCCUGCCGUGGUGAUGCGUGGAGGGUGUCUGCAGGGAAAGUGGCUUGAAGGGACUUUUUGCAUUGGUCGUUCUACUGCUUGUAACUGACCAAGUGCACGAGUGUUUCCUGUGCCCCGCAGGUGCUGGAGCAGCUCCAGCCUGGGGCCCUGGGCACGUGCUGGUAGCUGAAUUGAAAAUGGAAAAGGGUGUGGAGAAGAAAUAUAUAAUAAAGCAGGUGCAGUGCAUUAAAGAAAAGCAAGCAAAUGAGGCCUUGAAGGAGGCAAUGAAUUUGCUAAAAUUUCAUCACUCAAACAUCUGUACUUACAAGGAAUCGUUUGUGACUUGGGAUAAUAAGGUGUCAUGUCUGUUCCUUCAUCUGGUAAUGCAGCACUCAGGCCAAGGAGAUCUUUCAUCAAGGAAAAAAGGCAGAAGUCGGAAAAAAUAACAGACAUGGUGGUUGUGAAAUUCCUGGGACAGAUGGUGGAUGCUUUGUUUUAUAUAAACAAACAAAAUAUUUUCCACAGGUGAGUAGAAAUCUCGUUCUCUGUGUCUGACAGGUGACUGCUCUUUGCAGUGACUGUUGGUUCAGCACAGCUGCUCAGAGGCAGUGAUUUUUACUGUUCUGAAAGGGGGAGUAGGAGCUAGAAAUUCU